rnacentral:lncRNA from 1 species
GGUUCUACGGGGGUGCACCCUCAAACGAAAUCAAAAGCACCCCCAGUUAAAGCUGUAUCAAUGGCAUUUUAUUGCAGAUAUGGGAAACUAUCCAGUGCGUUAUGGUUAUGGCAAGAUUAACAUCACGGAGCGCUAAACACUCAUGUGGUGUGUAUUUCAUUAAUAAUCAAAGCCGGAGGUCACUCUCGUGCAGAAAGUCAUACAAGGAUAUUCCUACAGUAAUAUGGACAAAAGCAUCCAGCUAUUGCUGUAUGAAAACAGUUGUUUUCACAGAAAAACUGAAACUUUUGGAAACAUGAAGACAUUGAACAUACGAUUGCGACAAUAUGUGGUUUAUUUGUGUUUUUCAAGUCAUCUCCAGCAGGUAAUAAAUAAAGUAUUUUUUAAAGUACCUGAAGAUGGUACUCCUCUGGUACUGCUUGGUGACUUCAACAUCCACCUAGAUAAACCCCAGGCUGCUGACUUCAACACUCUGCUCGCCUCAUUUGAUCUCAAGCGAAUCUCUACUACAGCGACUCACAAAUCAGGCAACCAACUGGACCUCAUCUACACGCGCUGUUGCUCAGUGGACAACACUUUAGUUGCUCCACUGCACACCUCAGACCACUUCCUCAUAACCACUAACAACGCACUUACUCCUGAAGCGACACGAGCUCCACCGCAGGUCACCUUUCCAUGGAGCCUACGCUCACUCUCUCCAUCUCGCCUAUCCUCUGUGGUUUCAUCCUCACUUCCUUCACUCUCGCAGUUUUCAGCUCUGGACACGAACAGUGCUACAGACCCUUUUAGCUCCACUCUAACCUCUUGCUUGGACAACUUUUGCCCAUUGUCGUCUAGACCAGGACAUCUGCCCCCUGGCUGUCCGAUGUUCUCCGUGAACAUCGCUCUAAACUCAGGGCUGCAGAGAGGAAAUGGCAUAAAUCAAGAAACUCUACCGACCUCAGUGUGUAUUAGUCUCUCCUCUCUUCCUUCUCUGCAAACGUCUUCACUGCUAAAUCAUACUACAUCAUACUACCAUGACAAAAUUAACAACUGUUGUGACGCUCGGACACUCUUCAAAACCUUCUCUUCUCUUCUUAAUCCGCCUCCACCUCCUCCUCCAUCGACUCUUACAGCUGACGACUUUGCAGUUUUCUUCACAAAUAAGACAAGAACCAUCAGUGACCAAUUCUCCACACCGCAGACUGAGGAUAACUUCACAACGACUAAUGCACACUCUCUCUCCUCCUUCUCUCCACUCUCAGAGACGGACGUUUCCAAACUUAUCCUGUCCAGUCAUCCUACUACUUGCCCACUUGAUCCGAUCCCCACUCACCUCCUUCAAGCGAUUUCUUCUUCAGUCAUACCUUCACUUACUCACAUUAUCAACUCCUCUCUUCACUCUGGAACAUUUCCCUCAGCAUUUAAGCAGGCUCAGGUAAGCCCACUGCUGAAGAAACCAUCUCUAAAUCCAGCACUUCUAGAAAACUACAGACCGGUAUCCCUUCUUCCAUUCAUUCCAAAGACACUUGAGCGAGU